rnacentral:rRNA from 1 species
CCUACGGGAGGCAGCAGUGAGGAAUAUUGGUCAAUGGUCGGGAGACUGAACCAGCCAAGCCGCGUGAGGGAUGAAGGUACAGAGUAUCGUAAACCUCUUUUGUCAGGGAACAAAGGCGGGGACGUGUCCCCGGAUGAGUGUACCUGAAGAAAAAGCAUCGGCUAACUCCGUGCCAGCAGCCUCGGUAAUACGGAGGAUGCGAGCGUGAUCCGGAUUUAUGGGGUUAAAAGGGUGCGCGGGCGGUCUGUUAAGUCAGCGGUCAAAGCCCGGGGCUCAACCCCGGCCCGCCGUUGAAACUGGCAGUCUCGAGUUGGAGAGAAGUAUGCGGAAUGCGCGGUGUAGCGGUGAAAUGCAUAGAUAUCGCGCAGAACUCCGAUUGCGAAGGCAGCAUGCCGGCUCCACACUGACGCUGAGGCACGAAAGCGUGGGUAUCGAACAGGAUUAGAUACCCGAGUAGUC